rnacentral:rRNA from 1 species
UGGGGAAUUUUGCGCAAUGGGCGAAAGCCUGACGCAGCAACGCCGCGUGUGUGAUGAAGGUCUUCGGAUUGUAAAGCACUUUCGACCGGGACGAACACCCCUGAGCUAACAUCUCAGGGCCUGACGGUACCGGGAGAAGAAGCACCGGCUAACUCUGUGCCAGCAGCCGCGGUAAUACAGAGGGUGCAAGCGUUGUUCGGAAUUAUUGGGCGUAAAGCGCGUGUAGGCGGCUUUGCAAGUCGGGUGUGAAAGCCCUCAGCUUAACUGAGGAAGUGCGCCCGAAACUGCAGAGCUUGAAUACCGGAGAGGAUGGCGGAAUUCCCCAAGUAGAGGUGAAAUUCGUAGAUAUGGGGAGGAACACCGGUGGCGAAGGCGGCCAUCUGGACGGCUAUUGACGCUGAGACGCGAAAGCGUGGGGAGCAAACAGGAUUAGAUACCC